rnacentral:lncRNA from 1 species
AAGGUAUAUCAUGAUGGUCAUAUGAUGAAUGAUAAUUUCAAUACGUAAUAGACACCAGGCAUGUAGUACCUCCAAUGCCUACUUAGAAUAUUAGACUCAUUAUCACGAUUCUUAAUGGAAGGCUAUGAUCAAGUUAUCCUAUAAUUUUAUCAUUUUAUGGACCUAAUAAUUUAGAAGAUUUGAUUUCAUUGAUCUGAGAAUAAGAAAAAAAUUCAACCUGCAAGCUGCAAAUCCUCCCACUGACUUCACCAAGUCAUGUAAAGGAUUAGACACAAGCUAGUUUAAAGACACCUAAAUCAGUCACACUGAUUCACUUUAAUGGCAUGGGUCUGCACGAAUCGACUAGUGACCUAAUCAAAAUAUAAUUUACCAUAUUGGCCAGAUAAGUGAGAUCUGUGGGAGGGAUGUGCCUUUAACUCACCGUAGAUACAUCUAGGUGAAUAGCUCCCAAUUAAAAAUCACUUGAUCGAAUCUACCAAACUUGGCUUAGGGACCAAUUGAUUAACUAGUUUUGAUUUGAUUUACCAAAAGAUUCGAGCUUAACCACGGAGCCAUGAUCAUGGUCUAUUUAUUAGAGUCAAACACAUGGACUUGAUCAAACUUUAACUAUUGAGAUUGAUUUAGAAAAAUUAUGAUCUAAUCUAAUUCAAU